rnacentral:rRNA from 1 species
CCUACGGGAGGCAGCAGUGGGGAAUAUUGCACAAUGGGGGGAACCCUGAUGCAGCAACGCCGCGUGGGUGAAGGAGUGCUUCGGCAUGUAAAGCCCUAUCGGCAGGGAAGAAGCAAGACGGUACCUGACUAAGAAGCCCCGGCUAACUACGUGCCAGCAGCCGCGGUAAUACGUAGGGGGCGAGCGUUAUCCGGAUUCACUGGGUGGAAAGGGAGCGUAGACGGGCAUGCAAGCCAGGGGUGAAAGCCCGGGGCCCAACCCCGGGCCUGCCCUUGGAACUGCAUGGCUGGAGUGCGGGAGGGGCAGGCGGAAUUCCUGGUGUAGCGGUGAAAUGCGUAGAUAUCAGGAGGAACACCGGCGGCGAAGGCGGCCUGCUGGACCGCGACUGACGUUGAGGCUCGAAAGCGUGGGGAGCGAACAGGAUUAGAUACCCCAGUAGUC